rnacentral:rRNA from 1 species
UACGGGGGGCAAGCGUUGUUCGGAAUUACUGGGCGUAAAGGGCUCGUAGGCGGCCAACUAAGUCGGAUGUGAAAUCCCCAGGCUUAACCUGGGAACUGCAUCCGAUACUGGAUGGCUUGAAUCCGGGAGAGGGAUGCAGAAUUCCAGGUGUAGCGGUGAAAUGCGUAGAUAUCUGGAGGAAUACCGGUGGCGAAGGCGGCAUCCUGGACCGGCAUUGACGCUGAUGAGCGAAAGCUAGGGGAGCAAACGGGG